rnacentral:rRNA from 1 species
CCUACGGGGGACAGCAGUGAGGAAUAUUGGUCAAUGGACGCAAGUCUGAACCAGCCAUGCCGCGUGCAGGAAGACGGCUCUAUGAGUUGUAAACUGCUUUUGUACGAGGGUAAACGCAGAUACGCGUAUCUGUCUGAAAGUAUCGUACGAAUAAGGAUCGGCUAACUCCGUGCCAGCAGCCGCGGUAAUACGGAGGAUUCAAGCGUUAUCCGGAUUUAUUGGGUUUAAAGGGUGCGUAGGCGGUCGGAUAAGUUAGAGGUGAAAUCCCGAGGCUCAACUUCGGAAUUGCCUCUGAUACUGUUCGGCUAGAGAGUAGUUGCGGUAGGCGGAAUGUAUGGUGUAGCGGUGAAAUGCUUAGAGAUCAUACAGAACACCGAUUGCGAAGGCAGCCUACCAAGCUACUUCUGACGUUGAGGCACGAAAGCGUGGGGAGCAAACAGGAUUAGAUACCCUUGUAGUC